GUCUCUUUUUCUUUUAUUUUUUGUCUCUGUCUCUGUUUGUGGUGUCGUGCUUGUUAGAGAUUAAACCGGCGAGGGGAGGUGGUUUUGCGGGUCAGCAGAAAAGAGAGAGUCGCUUUGCAAUUUUGUUUUUUCU
rnacentral:ribozyme from 1 species